GAUGAACGCUGGCGGCGUGCCUAAUACAUGCAAGUCGAGCGAACAGACGAGGAGCUUGCUCCUCUGACGUUAGCGGCGGACGGGUGAGUAACACGUGGAUAACCUACCUAUAAGACUGGGAUAACUUCGGGAAACCUGAGCUAAUACCGGAUAAUAUAUUGAACCGCAUGGUUCAAUAUUGAAAGACGGUUUUGCUGUCACUUAUACAUUGAUCCGCGCCGCAUUAUCUAGGUGGUAAGGUAACGGCUUACCAAGGCAACGAUGCGUAGCCGACCUGAGAGGGGGAUCGGCCACACUAGAACUGAGACACGGUCCAGACUACUAAGGGAGGCAGCAGUAGGGAAUCUUCCGCAAUGGGCGAAAGCCUGACGGAGCAACGCCGCGUGAGUGAUGAAGGUCUUCGGAUCGUAAAACUCUGUUAUUAGGGAAGAACAAAUGUGUAAGUAACUAUGCACGUCUUGACGGUACCUAAUCAGAAAGCCACGGCUAACUACGUG
rnacentral:rRNA from 1 species